UAACGGCCCACCUAGUCUUCGAUGGAUAGGGGUUCUGAGAGGAAGGUCCCCCACAUUGGAACUGAGACACGGUCUAAACUCCUACGGGAGGCAGCAGUGAGGAAUAUUGGUCAAUGGGCGAGAGCCUGAACCAGCCAAGUAGCGUGAAGGAUGACUGCCCUAUGGGUUGUAAACUUCUUUUAUAAAGGAAUAAAGUCGGGUAUGUAUACCCGUUUGCAUGUACUUUAUGAAUAAGGAUCGGCUAACUCCGUGCCUGCAGCCGCGGUAAUACGGAGGAUCCGAGCGUUAUCCGGAUUUAUUGGGUUUAAAGGGAGCGUAGAUGGAUGUUUAAGUCAGUUGUGAAAGUUUGCGGCUCAACCGUAAAAUUGCAGUUGAUACUGGAUAUCUUGAGUGCAGUUGAGGCAGGCGGAAUUCGUGGUGUAGCGGUGAAAUGCUUAGAUAUCACGAAGAACUCCGAUUGCGAAGGCAGCCUGCUAAGCUGCAACUGACAUUGAGGCUCGAAAGUGUGGGUAUCAAACAGGAUUAGAUACCCUGGUAGUCCACACGGUAAACGAUGAAUACUCGCUGUUUGCGAUAUACUGCAAGCGGCCAAGCGAAAGCGUUAAGUAUUCCACCUGGGG
rnacentral:rRNA from 1 species